rnacentral:tRNA from 1 species
CCUUCGAUAGCUCAGUUGGUAGAGCGGUGGACUGUAGUAUCGGAAACAGCGUGAAAUAGCGCCAUCAGUAGUAAUCCAUAGGUCGCUGGUUCAAAUCCGGCUCGAAGGA